rnacentral:tRNA from 1 species
GGCUCCGUGGCGCAAUGGAUAGCGAAUUGGACUUCUAGCCAAGCAUUGGAGAGGUGAUUCAAAGGUUGUGGGUUCGAGUCCCACCGGAAUUA